UGUUUCAGAGCCGGGGGCUGGUUUCUCCAGAGCCCAGAUGAAAGAGCCGCCCCUGAGCAGCCCUGCAGCUCUCUUCUGUCCAGAGAAGCUUCGCCGCUCCGAUACCAGAGCCCACUAUCAGCAAACUGGGAUUCCGAUGAGGAAAACAGCGUUGGAGGCUAAUAGAAGAGGAAGGAGUGGAGAGACAGCCGUGCUUCUAAGUGCUGAGUGGCUCCUCAUCAAAUGUUCCCGUCGUGGAUUAGGGCCCGAACACUGCAGGAGGUCAAACACGGGGAGAGGCGACCCGUCCUGCUGCACCCCUGAUCAGGGGGUGGAAAUCAUCCAGAACUCAAAUCAUGGAUUCACGGGAAAACUCCGUUCAAACAUCAAAGCCAAGAUGGGGCGAGCACGCCCAUGUUGACACAAACCAAACAACAAUGUGAGCAAACCUGAUGAGAGAACAGCUCCGUUCACAUGAAGUUGACAAAUCAAAAUCAUCUUGAUUCUUCCAGAACUCAAAGGUUUUAGCGUCAGAUGUAAAAUCAAAUCUCCUUCUCAUCUGAAGUGGAUUCCUGACACUUUUCUUUACUGAAUAACAGGGAGGUUCAUAAACUCUAUGACAGGUGGCCCGCGGGCCGGAUCCGGCCCUCCUCCAUAUAUUGCCUGGCCCCCCAAACACUAUAUAUACAUUUUUUUUUUUACGAUGACGAGAGAGGAUAGACUAUUUAUUUGUUUGAUUUUUAAAAUAUUUUAUUGUUUUCUGUGAAGAUUACAGGAAGGAAUUGUGGCUGUGUGGCUUCUGCAAAAACCAUAAAUGUUUACGUUUAGGCUGUGAUUGUUACACUUCUUGUGUUAGCCUAGAAAGCGACUCCAGCCCCACAUCACAGAGGAAAACAGUUCUGUGGCCCUUAUAAGAAAAGCUUUGGGGACUCCAGAAGCAAACAGAAGAUACGAACUUCACAUCGAAAAUAAAAAUUCUCUAACAGUUUUUACCAGACAGUUUUCAGUUUGUAAAUUUCUCAGAAGAUUAAUUUAAGAAAUAAAUCUGUUUUUCUCUCCUGAGAGUUUGGACAAAAAAAAAAAUCAACUUUAACUGUUCAUCACAUUCUGAGAUUACAAACUUGGUCUGAGAAAAAAUAAAUUAAAUUUAGAAGGAAAACACAGUAAUACGCUUAAAAAAAUAAAAUAAAAUCUGGACAUUCUGUCUACUCAAAAUCUCCUGACUGGAAUUGUGUUUUUAACCUUUUUUUACCCUAUUGGCUAAACUGAAGAUGUUUUUCUGUUUACAUUAUUUUAGUGUUGCAUAAGGCUGUUUUAGCAGUGAAACAUUUUUAAUCAAAACUUUUAAUCUUAGAAACUAAACCUAGAUGACUUAAUGGAAAAGCUUAAAAAAAAAGACUUUUGAAAAGUUUAGCCCUAUUUUUACACUUAAUUUUUAAGAUGGAUUUUCAUCCAUGCCAUUGUUUACAAAUUCUCAGAACAUGCAGAUUUGGGUUUAUUAAUAUUUUAAAAUUGACUUUAGACUUGUUGGAGUUGGAGGUGAUAACCCCACAGAUGCAGGUCUUGACUAAAAAUCUCUUUAAUAAAUUAUUGAACAUAUGAAAUGUAUUUAUUUUGCAAAUAAAAUAUGUCAAAUAUAAAAAUCAUUGCAGAUAUGUUUUUAUUGAUGGUAAAAAAUACAUUUUUAAUCUGAUUUUGUGGGGGGAAAUAAUAAUAAAAAAAUAAGUUUAAUGAACAGGAAACUGAAUUUAUUGUAUUGAUUUUUUGCUGGAGAAACUGCAUGUUGUCACAUGGUGACUGAGGGUUCACCACCAGAGCUCGCGGCUAAAAUGCGGGACACGGCGGCGCCCGCAGCAGAAACAGGAGCUGACCGGCCGUCGUGCUUGAGGAGGACAAACCGCGUUACCAUGGCGAUGAGGUCCGUUUGGGAUGCGGGAGCGCCGGGAGGGUAUCAGGGAAAUGGAUCGAUGCGCAUCAGUUCUGAAUGAAAAAAAUAAACUUAAUUUUUCAUCAAGAAAAUAAAACCCCCAAACAUUGAAGUUGUGAUGGAAACGCAUAAUUCAGUUUUUGGAAAUGCAGAGAAAACAUGAAAAUGCAGGUUUGAGAGGAUGAGAGAUUACCUAAGCCUCUGAUAAAGACUCUUCAGCCUCCUGGUUAGUGAUUGAUUGACUGAUUUGAUUAUCAUACAUGUGGAUUUCGUAUUUGUUCAGCUACAUAUGAGUCAAAAAAGUGACAGAAUUUGGGUCUGAACUGUUCCAGGUGGCAAAAUCCCCCGUUCCCGCGUCCCCCUGGAACUAAUAAGCCAGUCCAUUUUCACCCUCGAGUCCCCGCAUCGGCUGGAGUGACUGAUUUACGGCUGAGACGCAGCCCAAACUCAAACAAUUAUACAUGUGCUGUAUUUCACUCUCAUAUAGCUGCUCUGUGUGAACACUUUCCCAUCGUGUUCGCACUGGACCGCGCUCCUUAAGCCUCUCAGAGUGAGUCCAGAAAUCUGUUCUGCCUCAUUAGGACAAUAAUCUGAUUUGAGGCUCGGAGAGUGUAAACCUAGACUGCUUAGAGGUCUGAUCUCAUUGGAAGCCAAAGAAACGCUGCUGAGGUCCUGCAGGGACUGAUCUCCGGGGUUUUUGGGGGGUCAGUCAGGUUGAGUCAAACGGGACAUUUGUCUCUCAGAGGUUGAUGAUCACCUCAGAUGGAUUCACGUACACGCACGUGCGUAAUGAUUAAGUGGAGACACUUCAUUAUGAGAUAAAAUGUCUUUAGUGAAUUUGAGGGUCAGAAAAAAACCUGAUUACGUUUUGUUUAAUGCAAAACAGUGUUAAAGUGUUCUUUAGUUGAAGGCGCGGGACUCCGCAGCUCCUCUCCAAACCAGAGGCGCGCGGCGCGCGCGGCGCAUGCGGCGCAGCCCAGAAAUCUCUCCCCAGGCUGAGAAAAAUGCUCGAGUCCGAGGCGCAGCCCUCAGAUGUUAUGAGAAAACCAUUGUGCGUUCACGUGGAAUCCACAUUACUCACACAGGCAGAGUAAAAAAAAAAAAAAAAGCAGAUCCAAGUCUCCGCUGCGCUCCGCGGGGACACCAAACAACCUCCGAGCUGAAGUCGAAGAAGACGAAAUUAACUUUUUUCCACUCACACAAUUCUACUUAAAUUUGAGGAAAAUUGUCCCGUCAUUGUCUUUGAGCUGUCUUAAGAAACAGAAACAUAAUUAUGAGCUUGAUUAUGAAUUAGUAAUGAAGAAAGCUCCGCAGCUCCGCGCUGCCUGAAGCUUUGAGGUGAAUGUUUAUGGAUUUACAGGCGGACAGUUUCAGGUUGAGCACUUCAAUCAGUGUUGCGUUUCAUCUUGGCUGCAGCGCGCACGCUCCGCCUGCUCUCACCAAGAAAACCGACUUUCCCGUGAAGCUGGAGUCUUUAGAUGUGGACGCGCAGAUGCUGUGUGCGCUCAGGACGCGCCACUGCAGGGACCACUGGGAGUGAGCUGGGAGCAAGCGACCUGCAUGACGCGCUACAGCCCGGGCGUCUCGCGGGGAAGGUUCCUGUCACAAGACAUCACGGAGUGGCACAAAGAGGAUGUGAUGGUUCGGUGACGGCGGAGUUUGGACGCAUUCGAGAGUUUGUUUCAGUGCGCGCGCGGAGCGGCUGCGGACAGCGCGACACUUUGUUUUUUUUUUUUUUUUUUUUUGGAUCUCUUAAUUGCCGCCGGUGCUCGUCGCAUGUGCCCAGGGCGCUGAGGGUCAGCUCAAAGAGCAUCAGGAGAAAGCUU
ensembl:lncRNA